rnacentral:rRNA from 1 species
UAAGUUAAACGGCCGCGGUAUCCUGACCGUGCAAAGGUAGCAUAAUCACUUGUUCCUUAAUUAGGGACUAGAAUGAAUGGCUAAACGAAGGUUCAACUGUCUCUUAUUCUUAAUCAGUGAAAUUGACCUUCCAGUGAAGAGGCUGGAAUAAAAUAAUAAGACGAGAAGACCCUGUGGAGCUUGAAUAAACUGACUUAAUUAUUAAACAAAACUACCUAGUGGGAUAAAAUAAAUAAUAUAAGCUAUAUAUUUCGGUUGGGGUGACCUCGGAGAAUAAAAAAACCUCCGAAUGAUUCUAGCAUAGACCAACAAGUCAAAACAAAUUUUAAAAUCUUAUUGACCCAAAGCAUUUUGAUCAACGGACCAAGUUACCCUAGGGAUAACAGCGCAAUCCUAUUCAAGAGUUCAUAUCGACAAUUAGGGUUUACGACCUCGAUGUUGGAUCAGGACAUCCCAA